GUUCCCCGCAGCUGGGCCGGAAAGUGCUCGGAGGCAGUGUGGGAACCCCAGGGCACGCAGCGCAGCGCCCCAUCGCCCCUCGGAGCCGGGUGGCCGAGGGUAGCGGACACCAGGGGAAGCAAAAUCUUGUUUAAGCAACAGUAAAACUGAAUUAUUUGCAAAUGCAACGUACAGAAGUGCCACAGGCCUGCGGGUCAGUUCGGGGAGGAGGGGCUCCGAUGCUCUGGCCCAGGGCGGAGCAUUUUAUGUUCAUCUGCGGCCCAGGCCUGCUCGUGGCAGGUCCGUGCAGGCUGUUCAUCAACCUGGAACACCAGUCAAACCAUCGGCGGUUUUCCCGAACUACUGGACCCUUUAAAAGAAGAGAGUGUGGUUGGUCCAUGCAGUCCAUGAUGCGGAAUAACGGAAAAGGUGGGACCGUCUCACAGGUGUUCACACUUGUUUGUCGGUAGGAGCUACGAGACAUUCCAUUGGUCCAGAGUCGGCCCCAUGCCAUCUGGAGAGAAGGCACCACAGACAAUGCACCAUGGAUUUAAGCCGUGGUGCCCUCUGGAGCACUUUGUUUUUCUUCUACGUGCUUGUUUGCUUUAGAUUCUUAGGUGCAGCUAUCAGGCAUCUCUAACGUAACAUGUUAAAAACUAAACUCUUUGUUUUUCUCUCUCGAACCCUGCUCUGUUCACCUUUCCUGUCUGCAAAUAUAAUGGCAUUUUAAUCCCUAUCUUCCAGGUGCUCAAGCCAAAAAUUUACAAACUAUUACCGACACCUGUUCCUCUCACACCCCAGGCCCAGUCCAUCUGACAACCUUGUACACUCUCUAUUUUCAUAACUUUAUUGAGGCUGAUUGACAUACACUAAACUGCAUAUAUUUAAAGUGUGCAGUCUGACAGGUUUGGGCAUAUGCAUACACCCAUGAGACUAUCUCCAAGGUCAAGAUGAUUGACAUGCCCUAAAAGAGUCCUCGAGCCCCUGUGUAAUUCCCUCCUCUCCACUCCUGCCUGUCCACUCCUGCCUCCAUUGCUAUGGAUGGAUUUGUAAUUCGAAAAUUUGAAAUAAAUGGAAUCGUACAGUG